GUGUGUGUGUGUGUGUGUGUGUGUGUGCGUUGGUUUUUAUGAUUUAUCAGGACUUUUCACCUGAUUACGUGCCGACAUUAUCGGGACAUUUGGGAUUAUGAGGACAGGGACGGUGUCCUCAUAAUUCCUGUAAUACAGAUGCAUUUAUCUAAGUUAGAAAACCCCCCCUGCAAACUUUGGGGCCAAGUCCUCUUACACCACAAAACCACGAAAACCAGUUCACACAGUGUAAACUCUGCAUUCAGCAUCGCGCCCUCUGUAGGCUGGAGCCGGAGAAACACCAGAAUAACACUUGCGUUAAGAUUUACGGCUGCUGAUUGGCUAGUUCUGGACUAGCCAUCUAAGGUUGUGAUUGGCUGAGAGGUAUGUCAUUCACUGCGAAUCCUCGUUUCUAUCGGUGGACUUCAGCAGGAGACUAAGAGGACACUACAAUAUCCUGUAAUAUCCAAGUCGUGGAACAGACUGUAAUCAGGAGGAGAUGGCUUCUUCGAAGUUGAGAAGUAGAAAACUUUCUCCAAAACAAGAGGCUGCAUAUUUUAUAUCUGCAUGUAAAGACAAAGAUGGACUUUAUGUGAAAUAUAUAAAUUCAUAUAAAGGCCGUGGGGUAUACAGCAGAUUCCAUUUUGAGAGGGGAGAUUUUCUUCUGGAAUACAGAGGGCAACUCAUCAGCAGGCAUGAAUGUGAAAGUAGACAGAAAAUAUAUCAUGAUGCCCUCAAAGUGUUCAUGUUUGAAUUUUAUUUCAAUGGAAAAUUGUUUUGCAUUGAUGCUGCCCGAGACGAUGGCUCCCUUGGGAGACUGGUGAAUGAUGACCAUGUUAGCCCAAACAGCAAAAUGAAAAAAAUCACCAUAUCAGGAAAGCCCCAUCUAUGUUUAUUCGCAACCAGAAGCAUUAGUCCUGGAGAAGAAAUUACAUAUAACUACGGUGACUCUGACUGGCCAUGGAGAUG